GCCCCCUUAGUUCAAUGGAUAGAAUAAGAUCCUCCUAAGAUUUAGAAGUGAGUUCGAUUCUCGCAGGGGGUGCCA
rnacentral:tRNA from 1 species